AUGGCUACCAGGGAUGAGCAGCGGCAGCAGCUCCAACCCCUGCACAUCCUCUUCCUCCCGUUCUUCGCCCCCGGACACCUCAUUCCGGUCGUCGACAUGGCCACGAUAUUCUCCGCUCGCGGCGCGAGGUGCACCAUCCUCACCACGCCCGUCAACGCCGACAUCAUCCGUCCGGCCGUCGACCGCGCCAACGACUCCAACUGCCACGGCACCGACUCCCCUUCCCCUGCAGUCGACAUCUCCGUCGUGCCUUUCCCCGAUGUAGGGCUCCCCCCAGGCAUGGAGAACCUCAUAUCCCUUACUCCAGCCCACGGAGCCGACUACAACUUCAAGUUCAUCCAGGCCGCGCAGCUGCUCCGCGAGCCCUUCGACCGGUUGAUAGCUGCCAACCGCCCCGACGCCGUCGUGUCCGACAGCUUCUUCAGGUGGUCCGCGGACGCCGCCGGGGAGCACGGCGUCCCGCGCCUCGUGUUCCUCGGUAGCAGCGUGUUCGCCCGGUGCUGCAGCGAGACCAUGCUGCGCACCAACCCGCUAGAGACAACGACGGCUACCACCGACGACGACCCUGAUGACGACGCCCAGCUCGUCUCCCUGCCGGGGCUGCCGCACCGUGUCCAGCUGAGGCGGAGCCAGAUGAUGGAUCCCAGGAAGCGGCCGGCGAUGUGGGCAUUCCACAAGGACAACGAUGCCGCGGACCAGAGGAGCUUCGGCGAGGUGUUCAACAGCUUCCACGAGCUGGAGCCGGACUACGUCGAGCACUUCCGCACGACGCUCGGCCGCCGUGCGUGGCUCGUGGGGCCGGUCGCGCUCGCCAGCAAAGACAUGGCUAAGAGAGGCAGCACCAACAACACGAAGGCACACGUCACCGACGACUGCCUGCGGUGGUUGGACGCAAAGCGGGCCGGCUCGGUGGUGUACGUCUCCUUUGGCACGUUCACCAGUUUCUCGCCGGCCGAGCUGCGCGAGCUCGCCCGCGGCCUGGACCUCUCUGGCAAGGACUUCGUGUGGAUCAUCAGCUCCGGCACAGGCACGGACGGGUCAGAGUGGAUGCCUGAGGGCUUCGCCGAGCUGAUGGCACGCGGUGACCGCGGCAUCAUCAUCCGAGACUGGGCGCCGCAGACGCUCAUCCUCAACCACCCCGCCAUGGGCGGCUUCAUGACGCACUGCGGCUGGAACUCGGCGCUGGAGGCCGUGAGCGCCGGCGUGCCGAUGGUCACGUGGCCGCGGUAUGCGGACCAGUUCUACAACGAGAAGCUCAUCGUGGAUGUGCUCAAGGUGGGUGUCAGCAUCGGCGCCAAGGACUUCGCCUCGCCUCUGGAGAGACAUGAGGUGAUCGGCGGCGAGGUGAUCGCUGGAUGCAUCGGGAGGCUGAUGGGCAGCAGCGAGGAGGGCGACGCCUUACGGAAGAAGGCCAAGGACCUCAGUGUGAAAGCAAGGAGCGCCAUGGCGAAGGGUGGAUCUUCGUACGACGACGUCGGAAGGCUGAUGGGUGAGUUGAUGGCUCGCCGGAGUUCUGGAGAAGUCACCCGGGCGGCGAGUUUUGGUACGCCUGCCGACUGA
rnacentral:rRNA from 1 species